AAGCGUGGGUGCUGGGGUCUGGGUUGGGAAAGGGAGAAAAAAGUGGAAAGCUGCAUUAGGGGGAAAGUUUGUCUUAGGUCAGAGUGGAGCGCAGGGGAUCCAGGGAGGCUGGGAUGGGGCGGCGUGUGAAUGAGAGAGAAGAGUUGCAUGGAAAUCAGAGGAUAGACGGCAGGGAAUGGUAGAAGCAGAGUCUGUAGGCAGAGAGAAAACUGGAGGGUAAGGACAGGUUAGAGGCAAGAAGAAAGUAAUGAGUCAAAGGGGUGCAGAGGAAGCAUCUGAAUAGGACUAAAAGUUUAGAAGAGCCCAAGAGAGCGUCAGUGCGAGCUGGAGGAGCGGCGAGGGAGCGCCCAUCCAGGCUCCCGGAGGAGGUGGAGCGGCGGGGCGGCAGAAGCCGGGAAGGGCGCCCGGGGCAGCACCUGGCGGGCGGAGCUUCCUGUCAGUAUUCUCCAAGGCAACGUGUGCAAUAAUGCUUUAGGGUUUCCACUGGUAUUGUUACUGAAAUUGUUCAUGAGAUGCAAGAACCAACCGGUUUCUCUUCUGGGGACAAGAGAAUUGAAAACAGCAC